AGGAGGAGGAGGCGCGGGCCAGGGAGGAAAGCAAAAAGUUGCACUGGGGAGUUUGGAAAGUUGGGGAGUGGCGGCUGCGGGCUUCGCCUCCCUCUGCGCGUGUGUGAGGGAGUGAGCCAGGCGGCCGAGAGGAGCCAGAGCGCUUGCCAUGCACAUCAGACCCCGCCUGGCCGCGCCCGGCCGCGGAGCUCGCUCCGACUUCCCGCAGCCCGGCCCGGCCCGGCGCCCCGGCCUCCCGCCCCCAGCGCCUGGUCCUCCCCUCCCCCCGCCGGGCGGCCCCAGCCCCCCGCCCGGCCCGUCUCCGCGCCGCUCUCCCGCCCUCCUCCCUCCCUCCCUCCCGGCCGCGGAGCAGCAUGGCGGAGCCCGGGCAGCGGCCGCGCGGCCGCCCGCCGCCCCAGUGAGCCCGGCUCCGGGCCAGCCGGGCGCCCAGCCCUGACCCCGCCCGCGCCCCGCCGCGCCCGCCGCCGCACUUGUCCCACCGCGCGCCCCUCGGAGCGCCGCGCACCCCGGGGACCUCUGCGCGCCCGGCUCCCCAGCAUAACCCGGGACCCCACGCGCCCCGCGCCGCGCCGCGGCCACAGUCCCCCCCAUCCCGCUCCCCACGGCCCCCGCGCUCCCUCACAACCUCAGGGUUCGGCCAAGCGGGCUGCGAGGCCAGCCGAAGGAGUCCCGCCCCAGAGGAUCCCCCUCUCACUACCGACGGGGCCCCGCCCCCCGAGGGACCCCGAAGUCCGGCAGGGACAUCCAGCCACGCCCCAGAGGGCUCCCAGCAUCCCGCGGCUGGAGCCCCGAGCACCAGAGGAAGCUCCGUGCCCUACUGGGGGCUCCCCGCCCCGCUGAGGGGGCGCUGCCCAGGAGGGUCCCCCGCGCCGCGCGGGUCCGGGCAGGAUGCACGCCGCCCUGGCGGGGCCGCUGCUCGCCGCCCUCUUCGCCACCGCCCGCGCUCGCCCGCAGCCCCCGGACGGAGGACAGUGCCGGCUGCCCGGAUCGCAGAGGGAACUGAACUCCUUUCUGUGGACUAUCCGGCGUGACCCCCCAGCCUACCUGUUUGGCACCAUCCAUGUUCCAUACACCCGAGUUUGGGACUUCAUUCCAGACAACUCCAAGGCAGCCUUUCAGGCCAGUGCCCGUGUCUACUUUGAGCUGGACCUGACAGACCCCUACACUAUCUCAGCGCUGGCCAGCUGCCAGCUGCUGCCCCAUGGGGAGAACCUACAGGAUGUGCUACCCCAGGACCUCUACUGGCGCCUCAAGCGCCACCUGGACUAUGUGAAACUUAUGAUGCCCUCGUGGAUGACACCUGCCCAGCGGGGCAAGGGACUCUAUGCUGACUACCUGUUCAAUGCCAUCGCCGGCAACUGGGAGCGGAAGAGGCCGGUGUGGGUGAUGCUCAUGGUGAACUCGCUCACGGAGACUGACGUGCGCUCCCGGGGAGUGCCCGUGCUGGACCUCUACUUGGCCCAGCAGGCUGAGAAGAUGAAGAAGAGCACUGGGGCCGUGGAGCGGGUGGAGGAGCAGUGCCACCCGCUCAAUGGACUCAACUUCUCACAGAAAUGUCACAUUAUUCUUUGCUAAGGGGAGGCAGAAAGCUUGCAUUUUGGAUGGGAAGAGCCAUUGAGAAAGCUUCCUCCACCUCAGCACAGCUUGGAAGUUUUCCCAGAGACCAGGAGAUAGUUUGACUGGUAGAGGACAUAUCUUUCUUUGUGUAAAUUCCUGCAGUUAAGCCGGCCCUAUACUGUGGACAGCACCAGAGAAGCUCUAUGGAUGGUGGAACAUUGUGAUGGU